AUGAACGCUAGCGACAGGCCUAACACAUGCAAGGUCGAGGGGCAGCGCGGGAGAAGCUUGCUUUCCUGGCGGCGACCGGCGCACGGGUGCGUAACAGGUGUGCAAUCUGUCCAUAGUCGGGGGAUAGCCCAGCGAAAGCUGAAUUAAUACUCCAUGUGAAUCGAAGCCGCAUGACUUUGAUUUGAAACGCAAGGACUAUGGGUGAGCACGCUUCUGAUUAGGUAGUUGGUGGGGUAACGGCCCACCAAGCCGACGAUCAGUAGGGGUUCUGAGAGGAAGGUCCCCCACAUUGGAACUGAGACACGGUCCAAACUCCUACGGGAGGCAGCAGUGAGGAAUAUUGGUCAAUGGGCGAGAGCCUGAACCAGCCAAGUCGCGUGAAGGAUGAAGGUUCUAUGGAUUGUAAACUUCUUUUGUCCGAGGGUAAAAAAGGCCACGUGUGGCUUCUUGCAAGUAUCGGACGAAUAAGCAUCGGCUAACUCCGUGCCAGCCGCAGC
rnacentral:rRNA from 1 species